GACGAACGCUGGCGGCGUGCCUAACACAUGCAAGUGGAGCGACGAACCAGGCUUCGGCCUGGGGCAAAGCCGCGAACGGGUGAGUAACACGUGGGUAACCUGCCCUGAUGAUUGGGACAACCCGAGGAAACUCGGGCUAAUACCAAAUGUGCCCUUCGGCCAUAAGGCCGCCGGGGAAAGGAAGCUUCGGCCUCCGCAUCUGGAUGGGCCCGCGGCCCAUUAGCUUGUUGGUGAGGUAACGGCUCACCAAGGCGACGAUGGGUAGCUGGUCUGAGAGGACGAUCAGCCACACUGGGACUGAGACACGGCCCAGACUCCUACGGGAGGCAGCAGUGGGGAAUCUUGCGCAAUGGGCGAAAGCCUGACGCAGCGACGCCGCGUGAGGGAUGACGGCCUCGG
rnacentral:rRNA from 1 species